ACUGACCUUUUUCCCUACACAUAGUAAUUUAUUGAGCAAUAAGUUUCUAGUUUCUUACAGAAACUGGCAUGACUGAGGGGACUACUUCAAAGGGGCUGAUGCUUCAUAUUAGGUUAAUCUCUAGGAAUGGUAAUAAGAACAUUAUUAGAUAAUUGUCAAAGUAUUUGUCAAAUUUUGUUUUUCUAAAUGUAUAAGCUGUAACUUUUAUUUAAUAUAUAUUUUUAUGGAAUCUAAGAAUUUUGAAGAAAUUUGAUCAUGACAGGAUUUCUAAGGCCAUGAGAAGGCGUUAAUUUUAUUAUGCCAACAGUUUUCUGUGGACUUACUAGUAUGAUUGUACAGUUGAUCCUUGAACAAUAGGUUUGAACCAGAUGGGUUCACUUUAUGUGGCUUUUCUUCUAUAUCUGUCACCCCUGAGACAGCAAGGCCAACCUAUCCUCUUCCUCCACUUUCUCAACUGACUCAAUGUAAAGACAACAAGGAUGAUGACAUUUUUGAUGAUCCACUUCCAGUUAAUGAAUAGCUACGAUGGAAAUGUGGGAAGGGCCAGGUAAACAAGGAUCAAAUUACGCCAAGUCCCCCAAAAAGACUAACACAAAGUGAACAUCAGAAGGUCAUCGGAAAAACCAGGAGAAUGGGGUAUUAAAACACAAGAAGACAGGAAAAGCAGUGCUAAUUUCUGGAUUUGCUUACAUGAUCAUGGAGGCUGGUAAGUCUAAUCUGCAGAGUCAGCAAGCAGGCUGGAGACCCAGAGAGAGCCGAUGUUCUAGUUUGAAGGCCAUCAGGCAGGAAGAGCUGAUGUUGUGGAAGAGCUGAUGUUGUAAAUGAAGUCUGAAGGCAGUCCUGCUGGAGGAAUGCCUCUUACUGAGAGUCAGUCUUUUUGUUCUACUCAUGCUUUCAACUGAUUUGAUGAGGCCCACCUGCAUUACGGAGGGCAAACUGAUUUACUCUACCAGUUAAAAUGUAAAUCUUAUCCAGAACACCCUUACAGAAAACAAGAAAAUGUUUAACCAAAUACCUGGACACACUGUGGCCCAGUCAAGUCAACACCUGAAAUUACUGAAAUUAACCAUCAGAGCCCCCCAAGUGUACAGAGCCAGGGUAAGCAUACACACAUGCACACACACCAGGGCAUGCAUACACAUACACACAUGCACACAUGCCAGGCCAUGUGCACACACACGCAUGCAUGCAUGCAUGUAUCCCUGUAUCUAUCUCUGUAUAAAAACUAUGAAUACGAUGGAUGUGGUGGCUCAUGCCUGUGAUCCCAGCACUUUCAGAUGCUGAGGCAGGUGGAGUAGUUGAGGUCAAGAUUUUGAGACAAGCCUGGCCAACAUGGUGAAACCCUGUCUCUACUAAAAAUACAAAAAUUAGCUGGGCACUGUGGUAUGCGCCUCUAACCCCAGCUACUUGGGAGACUGAGGCAAGAGAAUUGCUUGAACCCAGGAGGCAGAGGUUGCCGUGAGCUGAGAUCCUGCCACUGCACUCCAGCCUGGGUGACAGAGCGAGACUCCAUCUUAAAAAAACAAAAGCAAAAGCAAAAAAAAACUAUGAAGACAUAUUCCUGUGCCAGCCAUCAUUACCGGUUUCAUUCUAGCCUCCUUCUGCACUUUCCGUAUUUGUAACUACCUUUAACAGUAGGAAGUCUGGUUUCUGUUGUUCACAGUAUAUUUACUUAUUUGCUCAAUCUUAGAAUAUACAAAAAGUAAUUUAGAAUUGCUAAUCCUUAACACUAUAAAAAGCAAACCCACUUACUGGAACUCAGUGUUUACUUACGGUUCUCUUUUGUUUACAUCCUGAGAAUACGUAGUAAAAAUACUGUGUUCAAAAGUUACUUUGGUGGUUAGGUCUUCCUUUCUUCCUAAAUUUUCCCUGAGUCAUUUGAAAUACCAAUAGAGACAUUUGUUUUGUUUGAUUUCCAUCUUAGAAUUUUUUUGCUUUCUCAUCUUUGUGGAUCUCCAUAUUUCUUUGAGUAUAUUAAGCAUUAACAUGGUUCCAAAAGUCAGAACCAUACAGAAAGCUAUACACAGAAAAGUGUUGAUCAUACCUCCCAUCUUUUCUACCACUUCUCCACUCAUCUUCUCCAUCCCUUAUCCUCUGCUUCCUAGGCGAUUAUCCUGAUUAGUUUCUCAUGUAUAUAGUUCUUUUGGUUCUCUGUACACAAAAUGGACAGAUAAAUGUAUAUCUUCUUUCCUAUACAAAAAGUAGAACACUGCAUAUAUUCUUUUGUAUUUUGUUUUUCCGACUUAACAGUAUAUACUGGAUAUCUAUAUUUUAUAAUGAUAUAGAGAUCUCUUUAUUAAUUUUUAGAGCUGCAUAGUACUCCAUUGUGUGGAUCUACAGCUUGUUUAUUCAAUCACUUUCCCAUUUGUGGACAUUCAGGUUAUUUCUGAUUGUAUUUUCCAAUUAUAAAUGACACUGCAAUAAAUAAUCUUUGUAAUACGUGUUUUUAUAUUGUUGAAAUGUGUCGUCUCCCUUGUCGCUUCUUACUUUGAAUUUGUGCUUUCUCUUUUUUUUCUGGAUUAACCUUGUUCAUUUACUUAAAAAAAUUCCAGGAUUUUGAUUUAUGAUGUGAUUUUUAAAAUUCUCCACCCAGCUGAUUUAUUUUGUCUUUAUUAUUUCUAGUCUCUGUUUUAGUUUAGUUUGUUCUUUUUGAAUUAUGAAUUUACUAUUGAUAUAAAUGUUCAAAGCUACAGAUUUUCCUCUGU
rnacentral:lncRNA from 10 species